UGGGCAGCUUUUCUUAGGUUGUGUAUUCUCUCAGUAAAUCUCCAAGGACAUUCCACUCCCCCAGAGGAACUGGAUAGAUAAAUCUCCCCCUGAUGACUUAUCAGAUUCAGCCUUGAACUGCAUUCAGCGUUCCCUCACUGGAGAGCUCUGAGAGGGGCUAUACCAGAAGAGCCUUCCCAUUGCAGAGAAAAUGGGCUUGUCUUGUACCCUGGAAAAGAACACUUUUCCUUUACUCAGCCUUCAGAAUACAAAGGGAAGUGAUAAACAGUGGAUUUUCACUCUACAAGAGGGUAAAAUGACACCAUCCAUUUGAAACAUCUGUGCAGCGUGUGUUACGGCUGAUGUAACAAAUCCAUAGAGAGCACACUGUACUAUUUGUCUGGGUGGGAAAGCCUCCAAAAUGCAAUCUGCAAUGGGGGAUGCCUGAUGGUCCAACGGAACUGCCACAUUUUAGGUACAUCUUGCAUACUUUUCAUUCUCUCUUUUCUCCCUCCUUCACUAUCC
rnacentral:lncRNA from 1 species